rnacentral:rRNA from 1 species
GAUCAACGCUGGCGGCGUGCCUCAGACAUGCAAGUCGAACGAUUAAAGCUCUCUUCGGAGAGUGCAUAGAGUGGCGCACGGGUGAGUAGCACGUAAGUAAUCUACCCUCGGGUGGGGAAUAACGUCCGGAAACGGACGCUAAUACCGCAUAAUGCAGCGGCACCGCAAGGUGACAGUUGUUAAAGGAGUAAUCCGCCUGGGGAGGAGCUUGCGGCAGAUUAGCUAGUUGGUAAGGUAAUGGCUUACCAAGGCUACGAUCUGUAACCGGUCUAAGAGGACGGUCGGCCACACUGACACUGAAUAACGGGUCAGACUCCUACGGGAGGCAGCAGUCGGGAAUUUUGGGCAAUGGGCGAAAGCCUGACCCAGCAACGCCGCGUGAAGGAUGAAGUAUUUCGGUAUGUAGACUUCGAAAGAAUAGGAAGAAUUAAUGACGGUACUAUUUAUAAGGUCCGGCUAACUACGUGCCAGCAGCCGCCGUAAUAC